GGUAUGGGAUGAGCUUGCGUCCGAUUAGCUAGUUGGCGGGGCAACGGCCCACCAAGGCGACGAUCGGUAGCCGGCCUGAGAGGGUGAUCGGCCACAUUGGGACUGAGAUACGGCCCAGACUCCUACGGGAGGCAGCAGUAGGGAAUAUUGCACAAUGGGGGAAACCCUGAUGCAGCAACGCCACGUGUGGGAAGAAGCAUUUCGGUGUGUAAACCACUGUCGUGAGGGAAUAAGGCUAUUUUUCGGAGUAGUUGAAUGUACCUCGAGAGGAAGCACCGGCAAACUUCGUGCCAGCAGCCGCGGUAAUACGAGGGGUGCAAGCGUUGUUCGGAAUCACUGGGCGUAAAGGGAGCGCAGGCGGAAGCUCAAGCGGAUUGUACAAUACCGGGGCCCGACCCCGGACCUGCAGUCCGAACUGGGUUUCUUGGAUAGUUCAGGGGCAGGC
rnacentral:rRNA from 1 species